GAAACACAGAAAUCGUGAUCCCUAUUGAUACACGUUUUUCAGCUGCGGAUUAUCAAAACUGUGUGAGAUGA